GUGAUUUUUCAUGUAAGUAUUAUGAUCUGUGUGUUGGUGGAAAGCAGGAAUCAAUAACGGGAAGAUAAGAAGAAUCCAGCCCCUCUAUCCUUAAAGCAUGCAUAGCAGUCACAAUUCCCAUAGCCACCGCCCAUGCUAGGUUGAAGACUAGCUGGGAAAGUCUCUGUUCAUUUAAAGGGUGCAUUAUGAAGACUAAGGAGUGCAAGACAGCUUCAAUCAGUUGGAUUGAGAAAUCAUCUAAGAGAUCUUGGAGUUUACAAAAGAAUGGCGACUUUGGUGAUUGUAGAAGUGAAAUUCUGAAAGCUUUCAUGCUUUGAAUCGGUUUUAGUAUUUGAAUUUUUUAGUUCAAGGUAUGAAAGAAAAGCUUAUCACAUUAAAGAUAUACAAACAUGGUUGUUUCCAU
rnacentral:lncRNA from 1 species